ACUGGGGAGAGGAACGAGCUAAUGAAUUCAGAGCGCAUGGUGACCUUGGUUGGGGAAUCGAAAAUGCUCCAAAGCGUGCGGGCAUCAUCAAACGUUCGAUCGUGGGUCUCUCUGGAAACGGCGGAGCCUCGAGGGCGAGAACAGAAUGCAGCAUUCUGCUCCGGUGCAAGCGCGCGCAGGCUGACACAUACGCUACACUCUGUGUGUGUAAGUGUGUGUGUGUACGGGGGAGAGAGAGACAGCCAGCGCGAGCGAGGAGGAGGAAUGCGUUGCAUUUCAGUGGCGUUUCUGCCAAUACAUAUCGCGUCUGCUCCGUUACACAGACAAAUUUGUUUUUGCAGAUCGAUAGCCACGAACUGUCCUUUCUGACGCCCCCACAUUAACUACCUCUCGCGCCGCACCCAACCAAACCUAUGGUUUACUCGCGACGGGUGGCAGCUUGGUUGUCCGCGCUGCCGGUGCAUCUCGUGGGGCAAUGUGGCGGACUGACUAAACUGGAGAUGAUCUCCUUCUGGUUGCUCUGUUGGAAGCUGCUGCGAGCUACUUCUGGGUUGAAGAAGAUAAAAGACAAAGAACAAACAGACAGUGAAUCUCCGCAACACACACCUCAACACACACCACACGCUGAACACACACCUCAACACACACCACACGCUGAACACACACCUCAACACACACCACACACUGAACACACACCUCAACACACACCACACACUGAACACACACCUCAACACACAACACAC